GACAAUCCCAACAGUUUAGCAGGUCAGUGCUUUCCCCAUGUGCACCUUUUUCCUUGUUUAACUAUUGUCUGUGGCUUCCCUUUUCCCUGUUAAUUAAGAAUACAGCAUAUUUAUAAUUUCAAGGAUGAUGAACUUAUUGGAACUUGUUCAAAGCAUGUACAUGAGAUGCUUCUUUUUUUCCCCCAGUUUUCAAGAGUUACCAUGUUUUUUUAGUUGAGUUUGCGUUAGUAAGUUGGGUUGUCUCAGCAGUGAUCUAAUGAGAACCUUGCA
rnacentral:misc_RNA from 1 species